AUAUUUAUACCAAACGUCUGCGUUGCCUCCUCCCUGGGCCUUCGGCUUGUAAUUCCAUGCAAAUCUGGUGACACUGCCUUGUUGCCCAGCGGGCUGUCCGGCGGUGGGCGGGCUUCUGCCUCGGUGCGUGCUUGAAGUCGGGGUUUGGGGAGUCUCUGUAGGAAGCCGCGUCUGCGGGAAGGGAAAUGGGAGUGUCUGCUUCCCAACGUGUGGCCACUUUGCUUCCCCUCUGCAGGGAGAAGCCGCCCACAGCCUGGAGCUCCUCUUUGUCACCUGCACUUGACUCCACAGGGACGCGUAUUUCCAGACGCGAAGGCCUGGGGUUGCCAGAUGCUGGGCACCAUAAGAAUUAAUGGGCUGGAGACUCAGGUAAGGGCCAUUCAAAAGCUCCCUGAUUACUCCAAAAACCGCUCUCCACGGAGGAAAAGGUUAAUCGAAGCCCGGAGCUGGAAGAGAAGCGAGUCUACGGCAAUUGCUUUAUCCCCAGGGGAGUGGGGGAAAGAGCUUCGGGAGAGACAAGUUUGCACAGAGGAGGUUGUGGUCGGCCUGGGAGAAAGGAACCAGGCCUCAAAAUCGAGUUAUUUGCAAAGCCUGCUCCACUGGUCCAGGGGCCUUGGCCAGUUCCUCUCUGAACCAGAGCCAAGUAGCUACGUUUUCAUCUUUUUCUCACCACUGCAUAUUCUCUGCACUGUUGAGCCAUAAAUCUCUCAGGAAACCAUC